rnacentral:sRNA from 1 species
AACUUAUUCAACAAAUCAUCCAAGGACAAGCUAUAGGAGCCAUGGCUUUUGACAAGAAGAUAACUGAAUUACACAACAAGAUCGAUUGUUCUUACAACGAUAGCCUUAUGCCUCUCUCUACAGCUAAAAGGCUAGGGAUCAUGGAAUACAAGUUCUGCAACUUAGCUUUACUCUUAGUUGAUGGUUCUGUUGCACAUCCUCACGGUCUAAUAGAGAAUCUGCCUGUCAUGAUUGGAAAUAUUGAGCUACCUACAGAUUUUGUUGUAUUGGACGUAGAUGAAGAAGGCAAGGAUCCCUUGAUCGUAGGCAGACCAUUCUUAGCUUCAGCUGGAGCAGUCAUAGAUGUCAGGAAUGGAAAAAUUAAUCUGAACCUUGAAAAAGGCAUCAAGAUGAAGUUUGACAUCAGAGAAGCUUUAGGGAAAUCAACAACAGGAGUUCAGAAUUUUGGGAUUCAGGACAUGGAUGUUGAUGAAGAAACAGAAGCUGGAACCUCACCAAAAGUCAACUAUACUUCUCAACUCAGCAAGCUGAAGUGAACUUUUGACCACAAGAAGAGAGCAACAGAAAGGCUAGCUCAGACUGAAGAUCCUACAGAAGAUGACUGGUAUGAGAUGAGAAAAAAA